AGGGCACUACCAGGAGUGGAUCCUGCGGCUCAAUUUGACUCAACACGGGAAAGCUCACCUGGUCCGGACACUGGAAGGAUUGACAGAUUAAGAGCUCUUUCUUGAUUCAGUGGGUGGUGGUGCAUGGCCGUUCUUAGUUGGUGGAGCGAUUUGUCUGGUUAAUUCCGAUAACGAACGAGACUCUAGCCUACUAAAUAGGUGUUCCGAUCCCAUCAGUCGGACGCUCUUCUUAGAGGGACAAGCGGCGUUUAGCCGCACGAGACAGAGCAAUAACAGGUCUGUGAUGCCCUUAGAUGUCCGGGGCCGCACGCGCGCUACACUGAAGGAACCAGCGUGUGUCCCUGUCCGGCAGGACUGGGUAAUCCGUUGAACCUCCUUCGUGAUAGGGAUAGGGGCUUGUAAUUGUUCCCCUUGAACGAGGAAUUCCCAGUAAGCGUGAAUCAUCAGUUCACGUUGAUUACGUCCCCGGCCUUUGUACACACCGCCCGUCGCUACUACUGAUUGGAUGAUUUAGUGAGG
rnacentral:rRNA from 1 species